GAUACACUGAGUAAAAGAAAUGGAUUGCUUUCCCCUUUUUGUGUGAGAUGACUGUGUCUUUGAGGAAAUAUGAAUGCUGUUGGAAAUCAGGAAUAAACCAAAAGAAUAUCAUGUGUUAAUCCAUUUUUACUCUGGACAUCACAACAAGGUUUCAGUCCAUGAUUGCUUAGGCCUCUUGUUUUAGGCCUGUGGAAGCAGAAUACAUCCUGGCAGGAGCUCAUGGCGGAGAAGGCCUAUUUACCUCAUGGCAGCCAAGACACCAGGAGGAGAGGCUGAGGCUUGGUUCCCAAUGUCCUCUUCAAGAGGCUGCCCCAGGGAAUUAACAUCUCGCAUACCUAAAGUUUCCAUCACUUCCCAGGAGUGCCUGAGAAGUACUGAGUAAUGGCUGAGAAUAAACCUUCCACACAAGAGCCUUUGAGAGACAUUCAAGAACCAAACUGUUAGAACUGGUCUUCCUGAAAGACAAGGUGUGGUGUGAGAUUGGAUUGGAAACCAGAAGAGCUGAGUACUUACCUUGAUCCUUCCCAAGAAUAAUACUGAAGUUUUUUCACUACAUGUGUGGCAUAGAAAGAGAUGUGAGCAUUUUCAUUGACUAAAAGGAGUCAAAGAACACAGAUCAGAGAUAGAUCAAAGACCACGGGGAAG